rnacentral:tRNA from 1 species
GGGGAUAUAGCUCAGUGAUAGAGCACUUAUCUAGCAUGCUAGAAAUCCUGGGUUCUAUCCCCAGCACCCA